GGUACGGUAGCCAAGUGGUAAGGCAGGGGUCUGCAAAACCUCUACUCGCGGGUUCGAUUCCCGCUCGUACCUCAA
rnacentral:tRNA from 1 species